GUUUCAUUUCUCAUUUUUAGUCUUGUUUUUUUUUUUAAAGGAAUGGUUUAAUAAUUCCAGUCAGGAUGAAGAUGAAGAUCUUUUAUCAUCUGACGACUCUGUUGAUGGACUCACAACUCAUACUGAUUCAACAUCCAGUUCUCUCACUGACUCCAGCAGUACCAUAACGAACAGCAUCAACACUCUGCAGGCUGGUGAGGAUCAGGAAUCAUUUGACUCUUUUGAGUUUGAAUCAGACUCUGCGGCAUCUGAGCAAGACUCUCCAGUCCAAGACAAAUUAUCCAUCUAUAGUCCACAGGACGG